UACGAAGGGGGCUAGCGUUGCUCGGAAUCACUGGGCGUAAAGCGCACGUAGGCGGAUUGUUAAGUCAGGGGUGAAAUCCUGGAGCUCAACUCCAGAACUGCCCUUUGAUACUGGCGGGCUUGAAUCCGGGAGAGGGAUGCGGAAUUCCAGGUGUAGCGGUGAAAUGCGUAGAUAUCUGGAGGAACACCGGUGGCGAAGGCGGCAUCCUGGACCGGCAUUGACGCUGAGGCGCGAAAGCUAGGGGAGCAAACGGG
rnacentral:rRNA from 1 species